CUAGCCUCAAUCUCCCCCAGGAGAUCUGAUCAGAUUACGCACAACAGAAACACAGCACUGCUUGAAAGCAGUAUUAUUUAACUUCGGUCUUAUCUUCUGUAAGGUC